CCCUUAGAUGUUCUGGGCCGCACGCGCGCUACACUGAUGCAUUCAACGAGUCUAAAACCUGCUCUGAUAGGGGUGGGUAAUCUUUUGAAUGUGCAUCGUGAUUGGGAUAGAUGAUUGCAAUUUUUCAUCUUCAACGAGGAAUGCCUAGUAAACGCAAGUCAUCAGCUUGCAUUGAUUACGUCCCUGCCCUUUGUACACACCGCCCGUCGCUCCUACCGAUUGAACGAUCCGAUGAAUAUCAUGGAUUGAGGAUUAUAGCAGGUUCGCCUGUCUUGAUCUUCGAGAAGUGAAGUAAAUCUUAUCAUUUAGAGGAAGGAGAAGUCGUAACA
rnacentral:rRNA from 1 species